GGGAGCUCCAGGAUCUCGCUGCGCCUUUCCCCAGGAUGGGAUCACAGAGCAGGGAUUGUGCUUGGCUGUGGAGAGCCCAUUGAAAUGGAUCUGAGGCCUUGCAGAGAUGGACACCAAAUGGGCAGCAUGGAAACCAGCGUUCACCUUCCAGCGACUAGCUUUCCACACUAAACUGCCUCCACCAUCUCCAGCCAUCAGCUUGAACCACUCCAGUGAGAGCUGAACCUGCUGUGUUGAAGCUGGACUGGCCAGGAGCCGCCAGCAGGAAGUAGAGAUAAGCGGAGAGCGACAGGUCUCAGAGGAAACGGCAUACAACAAACCAGCCAGUGUGUUGAGCAUACAAUUAAGCUUCUUGGACUUCAUCUGAAAUGAAAUAGGCUGUAGUGAUGCUUGAGCAAUGGCCCUCUGCAGUACCUAGAAAAACAAGAGGUGAGCAGACAGAAGAAAGCAACAACAAAAAAAGACAGCAAGAAGAGAUGGUGCAUCGCUUUUAAAUGACUAAUUUAGAAGGAAGCAAUUGGAAGAAGACAAACAUUAACCCACUCGCUCCC